rnacentral:lncRNA from 1 species
UGACAAUCUUGUAUAAUUGUUAAGCUGCAAUGUAAUGACCUGAUCUCAAAAAAACAAAGUAUCUAGUUUAAACUUUAAGUUGUCAACUCCACUGCUGUUGUAAUUAAAUACUAUAUUCUCUCUUUUAACUUACUUUUGAGGAGGAUCAUGCCAAUGAUACUGUUGGGCCACGCAACACCGGUUAACUCCACAUUAGUAUGAUAAGGCUUGUUGGGCCACGCAACACCCGUUAACUCCACAUUAGUGAUACUACUAUUGAAAUAGACUACACCCAUGAGAGUGAUGCGGACAAUUAUGCACAAGCGAAUGGAACUGAAGGUUCCGGUAUAUAGUCUGUGCUCUUUGCCACCACAAAAUGCUGCUAUACGUGUUUUCCUGCGAUGCUUUUACCUCUAAACUGAUUGGCUGAUUAAAAGCAGGCAUACGAGAACAGAGAUGUACUUCACUGCGAAAAAUAUUGAUGUGAUCAAAAAAACCCUUUAUUCUGAAAACUUGUUGACAUUUCUGAAGUAUCAAAGUAAUCAAAACUAAGAAUAUUAUCAUAAUAAUGCCUUCUACUCUCACUACGGGAAAACAGGUCAAAACCGACCACCAAUAUUGAUCGGUUAUGAAUGUGAUCGGUCGAUUAUAAAGCUUAAACCGACCGAUAAAGGUGGUCGGUUACGUUAAUUAGUCGUGUUUAACACUUAAAACCGACCGUGUGGGUGGUCGGUUAUGUGCUGUUGUAUUCCCAGAAAAAUGGUCCCACUUGAUGCCACCUGUCACCACGUGGCAACAGGUGUCACACCACGUCAAAACCGAACAGUCAAACCGACCACCUGUAUUGGUCGGUUAUGUGCCUUUUAUUCACUGUUGACCAGACGUAAAACUGACCGUAGUCAAACCUUCUCAAACGGUCGGUUAUGUGCGGUCGGUUAUAUCUCGGUCGGUUUAAGCCAAGUACGCUUUCAUGAUUUGUAUAACCGACCGCAACAUAACCGACCGUCUUUAAAAGAAGACGGUCGGUUUUAUAUGAAUGCGGUCGGUUUUCUGCAAUUGUGUAUAGUCUGUGUGGACGGUUUUAUAUGAAUGCGGUCGGUUUUCUUGUAAAGGUAUGGUAAAAAAUGGUUGCUUAUGUGUACAAUUGGUCGGUUUUCUGGGCUAUUUUUGAAAAACAAUUGCAGAUUCUUCUGCAGUUUCACUUUCCAAUCCUGUACCAACACAAACAUCUAUAACCAACAUCAAAUACCAAUACCAACAACCAAACAUCAACCAUUCUAAAUUUAGCAAUACAAACACAAACACAAAGCUCAAAUUCUAAUUAAUUAAGCAAUAUAUAUACAUUCCAAACAUUCCAAAAAUCUAUCCAAACUACAUUAAGUCCGACAUAAUCGGACAUUCCAAAGUAUCAACGUAAACAAAGUUUUCAAUGUGAUCCAUAACAAGUUCGGGGAAUGAAAAAUGGAAACUAGUUAGACAAAGAAAGAUCGGAUGAUCCACCAUUGUCUUCACUACCGGCUUCGCCACCGCCUUCGUCACCACCUUCAUCAACGCCUUCACGCUCAUCAUCCGUAUUUUCAUUCGUGUCUUCGUCCACAUCGGUGUAAUCUUUCUCUCCCUCUUGUGCAUUUGCCUACAAAAACAUGUGAACCAAUUAGAAAUCCAUUUUUACAUAUCAAUCAAAACAAAAAACAAAACAUGAAUACAUAAGUAUAUUACCAUUCGAACACGAGCAUCCAUUUUGUAAAGAAAAUCACAUCCUCGUUGACUCUGCAAAAGAUAUUCGCUAAUCACUUCUAUGUGCCAAUCAAGAAAGUAUUACAAAGUGAGGGUCUGCCAACAUUACUUAACUCUAAUAUUUAAUUGUAGUUAUAUUAUAAUAUACUUUAAUGAAAACACGUGGUUUAAAGAUGAAACCGUGAAAUAAAAAAAAAUUCAGAAAACAUUAAUGCUUAAAUAAAAAUAUAUAUUCUUUACCAAUUAAAAACAUAAUUAUUGGCGAUAUAAAUUCAUUGAUUUAAAUUUUUAUGAUAAAAUUUCUAACGAGAUAAUUUAUUAAAUUUG